rnacentral:piRNA from 1 species
GGGGAAUUCAGAUGGACAUCAGAA